rnacentral:sRNA from 1 species
UUUUGGUAGAUUUUGUGAGACCGAGACACAAACUCUUAUGACGCUUGAAUCAUGUGCUCCACGUGCUCCUUCCGCUUAGACCGAUUGGCUUUUACAGUCUGAUCGCUUGUUUGACUUCCGUCUAGGCGGUUCAGUCACGUAAGUCUUGACCGAUCGGUUGCCUUCAUACUCCAGAGGGAAGGUACCUGCAAAAGAUACUCUGACGCUCAAGUUAGGUGCAAAUUUGAAGAGCCUCGACUCUUGAUUGAAUAUUUAGUGAAGGAUUAUCACUAUUGAAUGUUUAAGUGUUAUGAAGUGCGAGCAUGAGUAGAUUGUGAAUGAAACGUACCUGACUUUUCGGCCUGUCAAUGUAUUUAUAAGUGUUUCAUAAAUCAAAUAAAAACAAACUUACCUGGAGAUCCGGUUAGUUACCCAUAAACGACUUUAUCAAUAUCUUGAACCAAAUAUUUUGGAUUUCGUUUAUCAAAUAUCUUUAACCAGAUAUCUUUAAUUAUUUUAUCAUCCAUUGGACUAUUGGCCCAGUAACAACUUAAGCGCUGGCCCAAUUACCAUUUGAAGUAGCUUAUUAGCAUUGUAGGCCCAAUUACGGCCCAAACCAUUUGACUAGGUUGACCAAUGGCGGAUAGACCGAUCGACCUUAUUCAAUAACCGCUCGGUCCAUAUUUCAUACAAUACAUCAUGCGCCCCAAGUCCGAGUGUAAUCGUUCGACUUUAGCCUUGAUUAACUAUAGGACUUAUGAGUUUGAGGGAGUCUGUGUUUGCUAUACUGGAGAGCAUGCCUUCAGUUGUUGUUCCCUGAUAGAUUGAACAGUAGACUAUAGGAGAUAUAAGUUUGUUGAAGAGCUUCUGCUUGCUCUUAUUGGUGGUUGAGGAGAGUUCUUUUUAGAACCUUUUCCCCAUGUAGUUGCGCAACCAGUAGUGCAUGUUUACCUGUACUAAGGAGGAAAAAUAAUCAAAUGUGAAGUAAAAGAAAGUAGAUGGUUAUACCAUGUAAUCAAGACCGUUCGGCUGCGAAUGGUCGAUAAUGAUCGUCCCACUCGCUUCUACCAUCCAGGGUUGUUGGGUGAUUAUGGUGUGAAUGACCGUUCGGCUUUGACGUAGGAGUUCUUCGAAGAGAAUGAGCUUUACCGUUCGGCUUUGCACUAGGAGUUCCUGCAGAACUUCCUAGUGAGAGGGUUUUACCUCUUUGCUUUGACUUUGACCUAGGAGUUCAUCCUAGGAAACAGGCUUUUACAGCUCGACUUUGCACUAGGAGUUCUCGUAGAACUUCCUAGCGAGAGGGCUUUACCUCUUGGCUUUAUGACUUUGACCUAGGAGUUCUUCCUAGGGAACGAGCUUUACAUUCGGCUUGGACCAGGUGUUUUUCAGAUAACGUCUCUAGGUUUUGUGUACGAGAGUGAGCGUUCACCUAGAACGUUCCCCACUGCUCGGUUUGGACUAGGUGUUUUUCAGAUAACAUCCUUGGGUUUUGCGUACGAGAGUGAGCGUUCACCUAGAACGUUCCCCACCGCUCGGUUUGGACCAGGUGUUUUUCACAUAACGCCCCUGGGUUUUGUUUACGAGAGUGACAGUUCGUUUAGAACUUUUAUCACCACUCGACUUUUGCCCUCCUCUUGGAUGAGUGGUUUGCAUGGUCCUGUCACAUGUACUGUGAAGCCGGACGACUAAAAACCAAUGAGGCCGAAUGACCGAGCUGUUGCAUGGUUGAAGACUUGAUGCCAAAUUUGGCUAAGUGGUGAGUGCAUUAAUAAAUCUUGAACAAUAUUAUAAUAUUGAAUUAAGAUAUUUAAAUUAAAUAAUAAAAUGAAUCUAUACCAAAAUAAUUAUCUAUAAAGCCGUAGAAGGUUGUUGACGUUGAUGGUGAAACUGCAUAUCCUUAUCCAGUUCCUUGUGAUUAUAAGGAUGCUCCCGACCCCAUGAUGGAUAUAUUUCAUACAAUAUAUAUAUAUAUAUAUAUA